rnacentral:rRNA from 1 species
UGGGGAAUAUUGCACAAUGGAGGGAACUCUGAUGCAGCGACGCCGCGUGAACGAAGAAGGCUUUCGAGUCGUAAAGUUCUUUUAUAUGGGAAGAUAAUGACGGUACCAUAAGAAAAAGCCCCGGCUAACUACGUGCCAGCAGCCGCGGUAAUACGUAGGGGGCUAGAGUUGUCCGGAAUCACUUGGCGUAAAGGGUUCGCAGGCGGAAAUGCAAGUCAGGUGUAAAAGGCAGUAGCUUAACUACUGUAAGCAUUUGAAACUGCAUAUCUUGAGAGGAGUAGAGGUAAGUGGAAUUUUUAGUGUAGCGGUGAAAUGCGUAGAUAUUAAAAAGAAUACCGGUGGCGAAGGCGACUUACUGGGCUCAUUCUGACGCUGAGGAACGAAAGCGUGGGUAGCAAACAGG